CUUAUUUUCUAGAUGUGUGCAAAUUGAUUGGUUAUUCGCUUCAUUAUCUUUCCGGAUAUAGAAGUUAAGCUGACUGAUCUGUAAUUCCCUGGGUUGUCCUUAUUUC